rnacentral:rRNA from 1 species
AGAACGAACGCUGGCGGCAUGCCUAAUACAUGCAAGUCGAACGAAGGCUUCGGCCUUAGUGGCGCACGGGUGCGUAACGCGUGGGAAUCUGCCCCUUGGUUCGGAAUAACAGUUGGAAACGACUGCUAAUACCGGAUGAUGACGAAAGUCCAAAGAUUUAUCGCCAAGGGAUGAGCCCGCGUAGGAUUAGCUAGUCGGUGAGGUAAAGGCUCACCAAGGCGACGAUCCUUAGCUGGUCUGAGAGGAUGAUCAGCCACACUGGGACUGAGACACGGCCCAGACUCCUACGGGAGGCAGCAGUAGGGAAUAUGGACAAUGGGCGAAAGCCUGAUCCAGCAAUGCCGCGUGAGUGAUGAAGGCCUUAGGUUGUAAAGCUCUUUACCCGAGAUGAUAAUGACAGUAUCGGAAGAAUAAGCCCCGGCUAACUCCGUGCCAGCAGCCGAC